rnacentral:tRNA from 1 species
GCCCUCGUGGCGGAAGCAGGUAGACGCGCUGGCUUGAGGUGCCAGUGCUCCGCGAGGAGCGUCCCGGUUCAAGUCCGGGCGAGGGCA